rnacentral:rRNA from 1 species
GAUGAACGCUGGCGGCGUGCCUAAUACAUGCAAGUCGAGCGAACGGAUGAGAAGCUUGCUUCUCUGAUGUUAGCGGCGGACGGGUGAGUAACACGUGGAUAACCUACCUAUAAGACUGGGAUAACUUCGGGAAACCGGAGCUAAUACCGGAUAAUAUUUUGAACCGCAUGGUUCAAAAGUGAAAGACGGUCUUGCUGUCACUUAUAGAUGGAUCCGCGCUGCAUUAGCUAGUUGGUAAGGUAACGGCUUACCAAGGCAACGAUGCAUAGCCGACCUGAGAGGGUGAUCGGCCAUACUGGAACUGAGACACGGUCCAGACUCCUACGGGAGGCAGCAGUAGGGAAUCUUCCGCAAUGGGCGAAAGCCUGACGGAGCAACGCCGCGUGAGUGAUGAAGGUCUUCGGAUCGUAAAACUCUGUUAUUAGGGAAGAACAUAUGUGUAAGUAACUGUGCACAUCUUGACGGUACCUAAUCAGAAAGCCACGGCUAACUACGUG